UUUCCGUAGGUGAACCUGCGGAAGGAUCAUUAUUGAAUGAAACACUUCUGGCUUUAUGCUGUUGUGCUGGCCCUUUGGGCAAUGUGCACACGGCUCUGGUCACUUGUUUCUUCUGUUCCACCUGUGCACUGCCUGUAGACACGCUGUGUCUAUGAUAUUUGUUAACACACAACAAUGUUAGUUGGCAUGUUAUAUAUAAUAAUAAAACAUACAACUUUCAACAACGGAUCUCUUGGCUCUC
rnacentral:misc_RNA from 1 species